UACGGAGGGUGCAAACGUUGCUCGGAAUCAUUGGGCGUAAAGCGCACGUAGGCGGUCGGCUAUGUCGGAUGUGAAAGCCUCGGGCUUAACCCGAGAAGGGCAUCCGAAACUGGCCGGCUUGAGUACGGAAGAGGGUCUCGGAAUUCCCGGUGUAGAGGUGAAAUUCGUAGAUAUCGGGAGGAACACCAGUGGCGAAGGCGGAGACCUGGGCCGAUACUGACGCUGAGGUGCGAAAAGCGUGGGGAGCAAACGGGG
rnacentral:rRNA from 1 species